rnacentral:rRNA from 1 species
UACGUAGGGUGCAAGCGUUAAUCGGAAUUACUGGGCGUAAAGCGUGCGCAGGCGGUUAUGUAAGACAGUUGUGAAAUCCCCGGGCUCAACCUGGGAACUGCAUCUGUGACUGCAUAGCUAGAGUACGGUAGAGGGGAUGGAAUUCCGCGUGUAGCAGUGAAAUGCGUAGAUAUGCGGAGGAACACCGAUGGCGAAGGCAAUCCCCUGGACCUGUACUGACGCUCAUGCACGAAACGCGUGGGGAGCAAACAGGAUUACGA